rnacentral:lncRNA from 1 species
AUUAGAGGGCCAGAGCCGGGUCCUGAACCAACAAUAGACGGAGAUGUGCUAGACACACUGGAGGUGCUGGGGUAUAAGGGACCAUUGCUAGAGGAGCAAGCCCUUAUGAAGGCAGCAGAGUGGACUAUAUGUAGGAGCAUAUACGGUAUAGGAUUAUAUAUAUAGGCUUUUAUACAGGAAGAAGGUGGUAUAUACUGUAAAGGAAUAGAUAUAUAAACUAUAUAAAUUCCUAUACAGGAUAUGGUUAGGCUUUCAAAUAAAAUCAUUAUGCAACUUGGAAGAAAGUAUGACUUCUGCUGGAAGAGAUGAUCUAGAGAGCUUCCAGCUUGAGGUAAAUGAUUUUUUUAAAAGAAAUGGCAUGUCCAUAUUCUGUACUCAUAUCAGGAGAUACUAAAGAUCAUUUUAAAAAAGGAGGACUGGCUGGGUACAAUGGCUCACACCUGUUAUCCCAGCACUUUGGGAGACCAAGGUGGACAGAUUGCUUGAGUCCCAGGAGUUCAAGGCCAGCCUGGGCAACAUGGUGAACCCCAUCUCUACAAAAAAUACAAAAAUCAGCUGGGUGUAGUGGUGCAUGCAUGUUGUUCCAACUACUUGGGGGCCUGAGGUGGAAGAAUUGCUUAAGUCAAGGAGGUCAAGCCCACAGUGAGCUGAGAUCGCGCCACUGUAAAUAAAAAAAUAUAAAAAGGACUGUUUGAAACUCCUAUUAUUUUUAAGUACAGAACUUGAAGCUUCACAGAUAUUACAGAACAAGAAACAUUAAAAUUCUCAAUUAGAUAAAAAUAAUGAAAUUUAUCAGGAAGUUCAAGUUCUGUGUGAUAACCUUGGUGUACCCAAGUAAACAACUUCUGACAUUCUGGUUAUGCUAAACCAAGUGGAAUCAAAGGUGAAAGACAGGCAGGACGCAGUGGCUCAUGCCUAUAAUCCCAGCACUUUGUGAGGCAGAGAUGGGAGGAUCUCUUGAGCCCAGGAGUUGGAGACCAAUUUGGGUGACAUAGCAAGAUCCCAUCUUAUUUCAAAUUUUUAAAAAUUGUUAAUUUUUUUAUUAAAAUUAAAGAAAACCACUCUGCUGAAAAUUAAUUUAAAUUUGAAACAGGCAGAACAACUGGAAAGAGUCAAUGAUGCUCUUUCCUGUGAACAUGAGUGCCUCUAGCGAAUGUUAUGAAACAAUUAGAUGCGGCAAUACAGUCCGUUGCACGGUGUGAUACAGCCAAGGUAAGAAAAGAUGACACAGCAAGAAUUUACCAGCCUCAGUGUUAUGCUUUGUCACCCAAGACAGCGAUUAUAAUGGUGCAUCUACUUGCUGCUCAUGAUAAUCUAUCCAAGAUCAUUAGGACAAGCAGUGGAGCCAGCCAGAUGAUGGCAUGUGCCAUUAAUAAGGUG